CGGAGCACCAGGGAAGGAAGAGGGAGGAGGGGCAUAAUACGCACAGGAACACUGAUGGUCCUGGCGUCAGGCUCAGCUCUGUUUCUGGGUGGAUGCACAGCCUGUGCGAGCAGACUGCCUUGCACUCCUUGAGAGCAAGCCUGCCUCUUCCCCAGUCUGAUACACCACCAGAUAACACCUGUGGAAAGAACAAGUCAAGGACAAGUGGUCAGGCAAGUGAUUCGCCCUGAUCCUCUAUUUCCUUGGGUGUUGCCUAGUUACUGACAAGAGCACUGUGGAGACUGAAUGACGUGGUGGGUGUGGAAGCAUCCAGAAUGGAGUUUAACAAGAAGCUCAUGCUCAAAAAUAGGUCAUUUAUCCACUUUUUUUUUUUUUGCCUUAAACUACCCCGCCCUUUCUGCACUUGAUGGCAUGCCUGUGAUUACAGAAUCAUAAAAUAUGUGAGCAGAAGGUUCCAAUAGUGAUUAUCUGUUUCAUUUUAUUUUCCUGCUUAUUAUGUUCCCUUCUCAUGAUACCCCCUUUUCCUCAUAUUGAACCCCCAAAUCUCAGCUCUUGUGGCUCAGGGAGGGGCUGAUUCUUACCCACACUCUGGGAGCCACAGCAAUUAGUCAAGUAUAGCUUGUAGCCCCAUGAAACUUAAUUCUGGGCCUUGUGAAGCAGGGCACUGCCCUUGCUAUAAUUUACAUCUUGAAUAUCCUACAAGGGUCCAAGUGUUAAAGGCUUGGUGCCCAGGGUGGCACUAUUGGAUGGUGGUGGAACCUUUAAGAGGUGGGGCCUGGUGAGAGGUCCUUAGGUCAUUGGGGACAUACCGUGGCCCCUUCCUCCUUCUCUCUUUUUGCUUCCUAGCCAUGAAGUGAGAAAAUUGGCUUCACAACACAUUCCCUGCCAUUGCAACCCAGCACCCCCGCCAGAGGCCUAAAAGCAAUAGGUCCACCUGACCAUGGACUGGAACCUCUAAAACCAUGAGCCAAAAUAAACCUUUUUUCUUUAUAA